GACAGAGGAUGCAAGCGUUAUCCGGAAUGAUUGGGCGUAAAGCGUCUGUAGGUGGCUUUUCAAGUCCGCCGUCAAAUCCCAGGGCUCAACCCUGGACAGGCGGUGGAAACUACCAAGCUGGAGUACGGUAGGGGCAGAGGGAAUUUCCGGUGGAGCGGUGAAAUGCAUUGAGAUCGGAAAGAACACCAAACGGCGAAAGCAUCUAGCUGGGCCGACACUGACACUGAGAGAC
rnacentral:rRNA from 1 species